UCUACCUUAAUACUGUCCCCGGGUGCACAGAGAUGAAGAGCGGGUAUUGGCAAAAAGAGAAGAGUGCCUCCGCAGAAGCCCCUGUCCUCCUCUUUUUUCACAUUGUGAAUGAUCAAGCCUCAGAGGAAGAUUCAAGUCAAGUGUUGAUCUACUCAACCUGUAAGGACUGUUUGGCAGUAGAGGGAUACCAGCACACUAUCAGGCAGGUGAUCAUAUUAUGUUUAUUUGAUCUAAUGAAGCACCACUUUGAUUAAACAAACAAAAAAAAGAGCAGCAGAUACUUAUGAGAAGAUCAUUACCAAUGUGCAAAUAUGAAUAUCGUCCUUGAUGAUGCUGUUCUCCAUAGACUGCUUCAGUGAUCCACUAGUGGGGUAUUCUCGGCUGCUGAUGGGGGGACAACUGGGUCUGUGUUCCAAAGCCCAAGGUGGAGGGGGCCCAGAACUUGAUCCUCACAGUACCACAUUAUGGUCAAGAAUAUUGUUUUAAGUCAGAAAAAUACUGCUGCAAUUUCUCAGCUAUGAUAGGAAGGUUUGUAACUCAAAUCUAAAGAAAAAACAUUCAAAAACCAAUGCAUGGAGCAGGUAGGAGAAAGGUAAGGGAGAAAAUUUAUCAUGUCUUUAAAUGUUAAAUAUUAAUGAAUUUUCUAAUACUUCCAGAAUGCCAUGGGUCCGGGGGUCAAUCUAACAUUAUCCUGUUGUGCGCCCAGGCAAAGCAGUCAGCUGGCCUGGGGUUAUUCAUCCCAGUUCUGCAGCAGCCAGAUUUUACCUUCUGGUGAUGGGGAGCAUAAGUUGGAUAAAAUAUGAUCUGUUUGUAUAGACGAUUAUAUUUUUCCCCAUUAUUCAUUUCUUGUGUUUGUAACAUUGAUGACUUAAUAAGAAGAGGCACAGGACAUAAACUGCACAGGAAUGAAGUGGACAUUAUGUUUCUGUGGAAAUCAAAAACAUAUAAAGACAAACUCAACAUGGCUUCCUGUUUGUGAUUGUUAGGUAUAAAAUUUAGGUUCACUCAUGCAUAACAAUGUGUUUUAUUAAAUGGCAGUCAUAUGUGGUGUAGUUUAAGGAAUUUCCCUGUGUGCAUUCAGUUGGAGAUAAGAUUAUCCCUACUGGUGUACAAUGGCUUAUUUUACAGCAAGUAGAGAUAUUGUCAAAAGAGAUUAUACAUGUAAUCCCUUUUCAGACUCUCUUCUGUAAGAUCCACAGAAUAUACAUUGUGUGCUGAAAAAAAUGAGAAAACAGAUUCAAUUUUUUUAGGCUUAGCAACUUAAAUUCGAAUUACACUGCUUGCUUACAUGCUGUUGUCAAUGAUAUUUGGAAUCUUUGUAAGAAAGCUGAAGUGAUUCUUUCCCUAUCUCUACUUCUUUGUGUAUCUUCUUGUUUUUUCAAAUAAAAAUGCUGAGUGACA